GUGUCAGCAGGAAUUUAAAUGAUUAGGAAAUCCGGGAAUACCAGAAUUUGCUAAGUAUACUGGAGGCACUAAAACUGAAUAACUCUGCUAAUUGUAUGAAAUGGACGUUGAAUCAAAAUGAGUUGUUUUCUGCCAAGUCAUAUUACUGUUUUAUCAGGGGGGAAGGGGAUGACAUAAUCUGCAUCUUUCCAGCAAAACAGAUCUGGAAAUCUAGAGUGACACCUAGGGUUGCUUUCUUUGCUUGGGAGGCUGCCAGGUGAUGUAUUUUGACACAAAAUAAGUUAAUUUCGAGGGGU
rnacentral:lncRNA from 1 species